AGUGAGGUAGUUGGCUCAUAUGGUGGUUCCAUUCCUAAUUUUUUGAAAAAUCUCCAUACUGCUUUCCAGAAUGGUUGCACUAAUUUGCAGUCCCACCAACAAU
rnacentral:pre_miRNA from 1 species